rnacentral:lncRNA from 1 species
AAGUUAUGUAGAACACUCUUUAAAUUGUAAUUAGCUACAUUUUCAUAUCUUCACAGUAAUACAAAACACAGUCACUUGCAGAACUGGUUCAGAUUACUUAAAUACCAGAUACAUUUUUAGUCGUCUACAUAAGUGUUUGGAAGUUACUUAUGUUUGUAUGAAAUGAAGCUAUUAAUACUUUUCUACAGCAGUAACUGCACACCAGGAAGGCUAAGACAAACACAAACCAAGGAAUGGAGUAUUCCCAAAGCUGCAGUGUGAAAAGACUCUAAACAGUUGAUUCCAUACACAUGAAUGGGUUUCUGUGCUAUAGGAAAUCCAAAUGGAGUGAGGAAUGCAGAUGACUAUAAAGGUUUCAAGGGGAAGAAAGAUGGCACCCUGUACGCACUUCGUUUUCGGCCCCUUCUGCCGCAUCACAUUCUUAGCACUAUCCGAUGUCCAUAAUGUGAGGUUGUCUCUCAGCAGCUGCAUGAUGAGGGUGCUGUCUUUGUACGAGUCUUCCUUCAUUCAAUGUGUCGAGUUCUGCAAUAGCCUCAUCAAAAGCCGUUUUAGCCCGUGUGCAGGCCAGUUCCAGGUUAUUGAGGAUCUCAUAUUAGAGCACAGAAAAGUUAAGAGCCAGCCCCAGCCAGAUGGGGUGUGUGGGCUGCCUCUCUUUCUUGCUUAUGUCGAAAGCCUCUUGGUAAGCUCCUCGGGAAUUAUCUAUCGUUUGCUUCUGAUCAUCACCACAAGCAACUUCAGCAAGGUACCAGAAGUAACCUCCCUUCAUUUUCAGAUAGGAGACCUUACUCUCUGGAUUAGUUGCAUUGGCUAUUAA